rnacentral:rRNA from 1 species
UACGGGGGGGGCAAGCGUUGUUCGGAAUUAUUGGGCGUAAAGAGCUCGUAGGCGGUUUGUCGCGUCUGCUGUGAAAACUCGGGGCUUAACUCCGGGCCUGCAGUGGGUACGGGCAGACUAGAGUGCGGUAGGGGAGACUGGAAUUCCUGGUGUAGCGGUGAAAUGCGCAGAUAUCAGGAAGAACACCCGUGGCGAAAGCGGCUCUCUGGAACGGUACUGACGCUGAGACGCGAAAGCGUGGGGAGCAAAACGG